AAUCAACGCUGGCGGCGUGCCUCAGACAUGCAAGUCGAACGAUUAAAGCUCUCUUCGGAGAGUGCAUAGAGUGGCGCACGGGUGAGUAACACGUAAGUAAUCUACCUUCGAGUGGGGAAUAACGUCCGGAAACGGACGCUAAUACCGCAUAAUGCAGCGGCAUCGCAAGAUGACAGUUGUUAAAGAAUUUAUUCGCUUGAAGAGGAGCUUGCGGCAGAUUAGCUAGUUGGUAAGGUAAUGGCUUACCAAGGCUACGAUCUGUAACCGGUCUAAGAGGACGGUCGGUCACACUGACACUGAAUAACGGGUCAGACUCCUACGGGAGGCAGCAGUCGGGAAUUUUGGGCAAUGGGCGAAAGCCUGACCCAGCAACGCCGCGUGAAGGAUGAAGUAUUUCGGUAU
rnacentral:rRNA from 1 species